UACGAAGGGAGCUAGCGUUGUUCGGAAUCACUGGGCGUAAAGCGCACGUAGGCGGAUGUGUCAGUCAGGGGUGAAAUCCCGGAGCUCAACUUCGGAACUGCCUCUGAUACAGCACGUCUUGAGUCCGAUAGAGGUGGGUGGAAUUCCUAGUGUAGAGGUGAAAUUCGUAGAUAUUAGGAAGAACACCGGUGGCGAAGGCGGCCCACUGGAUCGGUACUGACGCUGAGGUGCGAAAGCGUGGGGAGCAAACAGG
rnacentral:rRNA from 1 species